UGAAUGGUCAGUAAGCCACCAAAAUUACCCCUGUUGGCGACUCUUAAUGGUUAUCAAGAAUAUUGAUAAACCUUUUAGAUCAUCAACCACAUUCAUAAGAUGUUCAGUCUUUCACUAGCACUUGCUUGCUUUGUUUGGUUACGGUGACCAAUUAGCCACUCACAUGUUGCCAUAUGGCUGUUUCGGAUGUGAAUGGUCAGUAAGUCACCAAAAGUGAGAUUGUGUUGGUGGCAUUCAAUGGUGAACAAGAAUUUUGGAUUCACGUUUAGGCCAUCAACUACAUUGAUAUAAUGUUCUAUCCUACAAUUUCUAGAGGUCCUUAUUGAACACCUUAAUCUCUUAUAUGUUUGGUUGAAUUGUUAGAAAUGCUUUGGCUGAGUUUAUUUUGUAGAACUAAUGCUGCUUGGAAUAUUUUGCAACAUGUGUCUAGCUUGUGCUUAUUUGCAACAGCAGUGUCAUUUUAGUUUUUGAAUUAUUUAUUGGUGGAUCUAUAGCUGUUCUAGUUCCUUCUUGGAGAGUCUGCUUUAGUGCCUUCGCUAGAGGAUAUAACAGA
rnacentral:misc_RNA from 1 species